UACGGAGGGUGCAAGCGUUGCUCGGAAUCAUUGGGCGUAAAGGGUUAGUAGGUGGUCUCAUUUGUCUGAUGUGAAAGCCCUGGGCUUAACCCGGGAAGUGCAUCAGAAACGGUGGGACUAGAGUACUGGAGAGGCAAGUGGAAUUCCCGGUGUAGCGGUGAAAUGCGUAGAGAUCGGGAGGAACACCAGAGGCGAAGGCGGCUUGCUGGCCGGUGACUGACACUGAAUAACGAAAGCGUGGGUAGCAAACAGG
rnacentral:rRNA from 1 species